rnacentral:rRNA from 1 species
CGGUGGAGCAUGUGGUUAAUUCGAAGCAACGCGAAGAACCUUACCAGGCCUUGACAUGCAGAGAACUUUCCAGAGAUGGAUUGGUGCCUUCGGGAACUCUGACACAGGUGCUGCAUGGCUGUCGUCAGCUCGUGUCGUGAGAUGUUGGGUUAAGUCCCGUAACGAGCGCAACCCUUGUCCUUAGUUACCAGCACGUUAUGGUGGGCACUCUAAGGAGACUGCCGGUGACAAACCGGAGGAAGGUGGGGAUGGCGUCAAGUCAUCAUGGCCCUUACGGCCUGGGCUACACACGUGCUACAAUGGUCGGUACAAAGGGUUGCCAAGCCGCGAGGUGGAGCUAAUCCCAUAAAACCGAUCGUAGUCCGGAUCGCAGUCUGCAACUCGACUGCGUGAAGUCGGAAUCGCUAGUAAUCGUGAAUCAGAAUGUCACGGUGAAUACGUUCCCGGGCCUU